rnacentral:rRNA from 1 species
UACGAAGGGUGCAAACGUUGCUCGGAAUUAUUGGGCGUAAAGCGCACGUAGGCGGCUUUGCAAGUCGGAUGUGAAAGCCCUCGGCUCAACCAAGGAAGUGCAUCCGAAACUGCAGAGCUUGAGUACUUAAGAGGAUCGCGGAAUUCCCGGUGUAGAGGUGAAAUUCGUAGAUAUCGGGAGGAACACCAGUGGCGAAGGCGGCGAUCUGGGAAGAUACUGACGCUGAGGUGCGAAAGCGUGGGGAGCAAACGGG